GCGAAAGCCUGACUUCGGUUGGGCAAGUAGAGUGGCAAACGGGUGAGUAACACGUGGAUAACCUACCCUCGAGUGGGGAAUAACCCCGGGAAACUGGGGCUAAUACCGCAUACGAUCCAUCGGACUAAGUCCGGUGGCUGAAAGCCUUCGGGCGCUGGAGGAGGGGUCCGCGGCCGAUUAGCUAGUUGGCGGGGUAAAAGCCCACCAAGGCACAGAUCGGUAGCCGGCCUGAGAGGGCGCACGGCCACACUGGCACUGAGACACGGGCCAGACUCCUACGGGAGGCAGCAGUGGGGAAUCUUGGACAAUGGGCGAAAGCCUGAUCCAGCGACGCCGCGUGACUGAUGAAGCCUUUCGGGGUGUAAAAGUCUUUCGGCAGGGACAAUAAUGAUGGUACCUGCAGAAGCAGCUGCGGCUAACUACGUGCCAGCAGCCGCGGUAAUACGUAGGCAGCUAGCGUUGUUCGGAAUUACUGGGCGUAAAGCGAGUGUAGGCGGUUUGCCAAGUCCGUUGUGAAAUCUCCCGGCUCAACUGGGAGGGUGCGGCGGAAACUGGCAGGCUAGAGUGCGGAAUGGGAGAGUGGAAUUCCUGGUGUAGCGGUGAAGUGCGUAGAUAUCAGGAGGAACACCGGUGGUGAAGACGGCUCUCUGGACCGCUACUGACGCUGAGACUCGAAAGCGUGGGGAGCAAACAGGAUUAGAUACCCUGGUAGUCCACGCCCUAAACGAUGCAUACUUGGUGU
rnacentral:rRNA from 1 species